rnacentral:rRNA from 1 species
AACGAACGCUGGCGGCAGGCUUAACACAUGCAAGUCGAACGCCCCGCAAGGGAGUGGCAGACGGGUGAGUAACGCGUGGGAAUGUACCCCAACGGUACGGAAUAUUCUCGGGAAACUGAGAGCAAUACCGUAUGUGACCGUAAGGUGAAAGAUUUAUCGCCUUGGGAUCAGCCCGCGUCGGAUUAGCUUGUUGGUGGGGUAAAAGCCUACCAAGGCGACGAUCCGUAGCUGGUCUGAGAGGACGACCAGCCACACUGGGACUGAGACACGGCCCAGACUCCUACGGGAGGCAGCAGUGGGGAAUCUUGGACAAUGGGCGCAAGCCUGAUCCAGCCAUGCCGCGUGGAUGAUGAAGGCCUUAGGGUUGUAAAAUCCUUUCGCCGAGGACGAUAAUGACGGUACUCGGAGAAGAAGCCCCGGCUAACUUCGUGCCAGCAGCCGCGGUAAU